rnacentral:lncRNA from 1 species
GGGGAGGAACAUGGGGAGAUCGCCAUGCUGCGAGAAAGCUCACACCAACAAGGGUGCAUGGACCAAGGAGGAGGACGAGCGCCUCAUCGCUCACAUCCGAGCCCACGGAGAGGGCUGCUGGCGUUCCCUCCCCAAGGCCGCCGGUCUGCUCCGGUGCGGCAAGAGCUGCCGCCUUCGGUGGAUCAACUACCUCCGCCCCGACCUCAAGCGCGGCAACUUCACCGAGGACGAGGACGAGCUCAUCAUCAAGCUCCAC